rnacentral:rRNA from 1 species
CGGGAAUGGAUUAGUGGCGAACGGGUGAGGAACACGUGAGAACCUGCCUUUCAUUCUGGGAUAACACCGGGAAACCGGUGCUAAUACCGGAUACUCCGUCUUGGCGGCAUCGCCGAGCCGGGAAAAAAUUUUGAUGAAAGAUGGUCUCGCGGCCUAUUAGCUAGUUGGUGAGGUAACGGCUCACCAAGGCGACGAUGGGUAGCCGGCCUGAGAGGGUGAUCGGCCACACUGGGACUGAGACACGGCCCAGACUCCUACGGGAGGCAGCAGUAGGGAGUAUUGGACAAUGGGCGCAAGCCUGAUCCAGCAAUGCCGCGUGUGUGAAGAAGGCCUGCGGGUUGUAAAGCACUUUCAAUUGGGAAGAAAGAUUUAGAGUUAAUACCUCUUAAUAUUGACGUUACCAAUAGAAGAAGCACCGGCUAACUCUGUGCCAGCAGCCGCGGUAAUACAGAGGGUGCAAGCGUUAUUCGGAAUUAUUGGGCGUAAAGCGAGUGUAGGCGGUUAAUUAAGUCUGAUGUGAAAGCCCCAGGCUUAACUUGGGAAUUGCAUUCGAUACUGUUUGACUAGAGUAUGGUAGAGGAUAGUGGAAUUUCCGGUUAGCGGUGAAAUGCGUAGAGAUCGGAAGGAACAUCAGUGGCGAAGGCGGCUAUCUGGACCAAUACUGACGCUGAGGUGCGAAAGCGUGGGGAGCAAACAGGAUUAGAUACCCUGGUAGUCCAACGCCGUAAACGAUGUCAACUAGCCGUUGGAGGGCUUGUCCCUUUAGUGGCGCAGCUAACGCGAUAAGUUGACCGCCUGGGGAGUACGGCCGCAAGGUUAAAACUCAAAUGAAUUGACGGGGGCCCGCACAAGCGGUGGAGCAUGUGGUUUAAUUCGAUGCAACGCGAAGAACCUUACCAGGUCUUGACAUCCCGAGAAUUUACUAGAGAUAGUUUAGUGCCUUCGGGAACUCGGUGACAGGUGCUGCAUGGCUGUCGUCAGCUCGUGUCGUGAGAUUUGGGUUAAGUCCCGUAACGAGCGCAACCCUUGUCCUUAGUUGCCAGCACGUAAUGGUGGGAACUCUAAGGAGACUGCCGGUGACAAACCGGAGGAAGGUGGGGACGACGUCAAGUCAUCAUGGCCCUUACGACCUGGGCUACACACGUGCUACAAUGGUCGGUACAGAGGGUUGCCAAGCCGCGAGGUGGAGCUAAUCCCAGAAAACCGAUCGUAGUCCGGAUUGGAGUCUGCAACCCACCUCCAUGAAGU